AUACAGAAUGACUCUCGGCAACGGAUAUCUAGGCUCUUGCAUCGAUGAAGAACGUAGCGAAAUGCGAUACUUGGUGUGAAUUGCAGAAUCCCGUGAACCAUCGAGUCUUUGAACGCAAGUUGCGCCUGAAGCCAUUAGGCUGAGGGCACGUCUGCCUGGGCGUC
rnacentral:rRNA from 1 species